rnacentral:rRNA from 1 species
GACGAACGCUGGCGGCGUGCUUAACACAUGCAAGUCGAACGGAAAGGCCCUGCUUUUGUGGGGUGCUCGAGUGGCGAACGGGUGAGUAACACGUGAGUAGCCUGCCCUUGACUUUGGGAUAACUUCAGGAAACUGGGGCUAAUACCGGAUAGGAGCUCCUGCUGCAUGGUGGGGGUUGGAAAGUUUCGGCGGUUGGGGAUGGACUCGCGGCUUAUCAGCUUGUUGGUGGGGUAGUGGCUUACCAAGGCUUUGACGGGUAGCCGGCCUGAGAGGGUGACCGGCGACAUUGGGACUGAGAUACGGCCCAGACUCCUACGGGAGGCAGCAGUGGGGAAUAUUGCACAAUGGGCGGAAGCCUGAUGCAGCAACGCCGCGUGCGGGAUGACGGCCUUCGGGUUGUAAACCGCUUUCGCCUGUGACGAAGCGUGAGUGACGGUAAUGGGUAAAGAAGCACCGGCUAACUACGUG